GCACAAGGGCCGACUGUAGCUGGGGAAAGACAGUUUACUCAUUUGCUCUCUCCUUUCACACAGUCAGCUGGCCCUCUUCUCAGGUGUAGAUCACCUAUUAUCAUUUCACCUGUUUUGAUUCUCUGAUGAGGAAAGUCCCAAGACUUAUCAGCUGGGAUAGGCCUCAUUUACAAGACAGCUCUGUUCAGUAUUUGGAAGAAAGCCUGACAGGUUUCUCCGGAAAAGUGACCAUCCAUGGAAUGAAUGAAAUGUUCCCUUUCUAUUCCAGUAAUUCAGGUGUGACCUUGUACCCAAGCUUCCUUCUCCAGUGUAAGAAAACAAAGUCCUCUCUGUCCCCAAAAAAGAGACUGGGCACCGGAACACAGAGAAGCCCCUUUGUCCGGCUCUCCCCACCACCCCCAUUAAUAUGCACUGCUGCAACCUUGAGGCCCAGGGAGGAACUCCUUUGACUUGGAGACUGGAUUUUGCAAAACCCCAAGCUUUGUUCCACAGGGACACUCAUGUCAAAUGACAGUCCCUCACAGUAACUCCACCAUGUUCUCCCAUUCAAGACAGUGUACUGGCAUGCAAGUGAGUAAAAACUAUGCUAUUAUAAGGAUAACCUUGAGUUUGCUGGAAUGAAUUCUUAAAUGCCAGAACUUUGUUAUUAUUUUACCAUUUCUUGUAACAUAUCUCAGUCUCAGCUAAUCAUGACACAUCAGAGUCUCCUGACACUGAGGUUGAAAAAUAUCCAUUCAGUGCAAGUGACAACCAAACUGGCAGAGCAAAUAUAUGGUAAGAGAUCCUUAGAUCCCUGGAGCUGACUGAAAUGUAUGAGAGCACUCGGAACUAGCAUCGGCACUUAAGAAUCUUUCAGCAAAUGAUAGGACCACAUCGUACUGCUCUGCUCCUUCCAGCCUGGUACCUUCACACCAAGUUGGCUCAAUAGCCUCAGAUUUAUGAGGCAGGGCAGGACAGAGGAUGUUUACAUUAAAGUAGGUUUUAAAUGAGCUUAAGAUACCAAAAUAUUGUUAGCAGUAUGAAGUUAAUUUUAGGCACCAUGAUUCAAUUUCUGCCUUUUUAUUAAUUGUAUUAUUGUUAUGCUAUUAAUUGUAUAAUUGUUAUUGGCAUGUGUUAACUUAGGCUUUACAUUGAAAACAAAAUUAAUUUUUAAAUUUUUAGUGCUCAAAAUGCAGUGAUUAUCUGGAGAGCUUUUUAAAAGGACAACACUGAGACUAUAUCUCAGACAAGUUAAAUCAGAAUCUGUGAAUGGGACCAAGGCAUUAGUAGUUUUUAAAGCCCCACAGGUAAUUCCAGCAUGUAGCAAAGCCUGAGACCCACUGGUCUAAGGAAGGGAAAAGGGCAGGAGAGGGAGGUGAGUAUAGGGAGACAUUGAGAAAUUGUGACCAUGCAAUUAUAAUUGAUGUUAUUUAGAUCUGUCAGCCUGAUAUUCUAAGAGUUGCCAGUGACACUGGAGAUGGGCCUAAGACAUUCCCUGACAGCAAUCAUUUCCUAUCUCUCUGUAUAUCUAUCCUUGGAGGAGCCUUUUACCCCUGGAGUCCAAGGCAAAAAGGAAGUGGUGACUUCUCUGUGACUGUACAAUUCUCUCAAAACUGAUUCAGUAAAACCCUUUCUCUACUUCUCUCACUUCAGAGGUGGGCAGAAGUAGAGUCCUACACAGAAUUCUGCAGAAUAGACAGAUUCAAACCAGAAUGGAAAAAAUAAUAAUAUGGAAUGUCUAUAUUGAGGGAGGUGCUACCUGAAUCCUUACUACCACCCCAAAGGCAGGUAUUAGAUGUGCCUCCAUCUUACAGGUGAAGAUACAGAGAAACAGCAACAUAAGAAGGCUACCCAAGGUCAUACAGCUAAUGUGUACCUAAGUUUGGACUUUUUACUCCAAGACAGAUGGAAAACUGACCAAGGGUCAGGCCAGCUAUUCAUGGACAGCUGUCUGUGUCAAAGGAAUCUUUCAUUCUUUAGGUAGAGAAUCAAAUUAGUAUGCUAAUUGUGUUCUUUGCUAGUAUGUGUAAGCAAGCAUUAUACUCACAGACAUAGAAAAGAAUCUUAGUAUUCAGACACCAGUUUCGUAUUUGUCCUCUUUUGAAACAUCAUCACUAGCUCUCAUGAACAGUUUAAGGCUAUUGGAGUUUCUCCAAUUAAAAAAUACAUAUAUUUGGAAUAGCUAAAAGAACCGAGUAUAUGCAUCUAAGCUCAAGCUUACAUGGAACCUUUGAAAACUGGAUACGACUCCUUCUUAUGACAUUUCUGAAAAUGGAAAUCCUCUUGAAUUCAUGAUGGUAACAAAGAAAAAAAUACAUUUUGUAUGUUCUCCCUAUGAGGUCCUGGAGUGUGAGUGUAAUUGGAAUUUAGCAUCAACCCCAAACAACUGGAGCCAUCUGUUUCCUAUUUUGUAAACUUUUGUUCAAUCAGAAAUUGUUAGCUACCUAAAGAAACAGCCUAAGGUAGAACCUGCCCUCAACCAAUUUGAAGACAGAAGUUUAUCUUUUAUUUACUCAUCAAGCAUUGCCUUGUGUCUACUACUUUUGCUGUUUCAUUUUUGCCAGGCACUUUUGCUGUUUCGUUUUUGCUCCUUUCCCAACUUAUUAGCACUCCUGUCCCUCUUCCUCUUACAAUUCCAAAGGCCUUUCCCUCUCUCUCUACCAGGUAGGCCAAAACCUGCUUUUCGAGCCUUCACAGGAAGGUAUAAGUGGUUGAUAACAGCUAAAAGUAGUUAUGAUUUCUAGGGCUCUAUGCAUUUUAACAGAGACCAAAUCCUUUAAAGCUAUAAGGGCAAUGGUCUUAUAGUUACAGGCAGUGGAUCCCUGGAGACUGACAAAGCCUGCUGCAAUCUUGCCAUCCUGUGGCAGCCUGCUACUCUUCUGAGGUCAGGCCCAUGCCUUUCCGUGUUUUUACCCCAAGUGCUUGGCACAGGGAUCAGCAUAUUUGGCACCCAAUAAUGAAAGCUUUGGCCUGAGGAAAAUAAGUCGCAAUAACAAGCUGCUAACACAGAUGAAUGGGAAGAUGCUGGAUUAGUUUUGAGCCAAAAUACCAUGAGAAAAGGCCAGGUGAAGCAAUAAUAGGAGAUAACCCAGUACUAUCAUUUGAACUCUCCUAGAAGCCAGUGUUAGGUUUUUUGGUUUUGUUUUGUUUUGUGGCCACCCUCAGCAUAUGGAGUUCUGGGGCUGCAGCUGCAACACACUAGAUCCUUAACCCACUGCACUGAGCCAGGGAUCGAACCUGCGUCCUGGCACUCCAGAGAUGACGCCAAUCCCAUUGUGUCACAGUGGGAACUCCCCAGUAUCAGUUUGGAGAGAUUUCUGGGGGUUCCAGCUUACUGUAGGAUCCAUAGAUCUGGUUUUAUUUAGCAGCUCUGCUACAUUUCAAUUUGUUGCGUUUAAGAUGCACUGGAAUUGGGAUAGCGAGUAAAUGAAUCACUGAAAAAAUGUGUAUUGAGGAGUUCCCAUUGUGGCACAGCAGACAUGAAUCCAACUAGCAUCCAUCAGGAUGUGGGUUCAAUUCCUAGCCCCAUUUGGUGGGUCGUGGAUCUGGCACUGCCAUGAGCUGUGGUGUAGAUCACAGACAGAGCC
rnacentral:lncRNA from 1 species